AUUGAACGCUGGCGGCAUGCCUUACACAUGCAAGUCGAACGGCAGCACGGGAGCUUGCUCCUGGUGGCGAGUGGCGAACGGGUGAGUAAUACAUCGGAACGUACCCUGAAGUGGGGGAUAACGUAGCGAAAGUUACGCUAAUACCGCAUAUUCUGUGAGCAGGAAAGAGGGGGAUCGCAAGACCUCUUGCUUUAGGAGCGGCCGAUGUCGGAUUAGCUAGUUGGUGAGGUAAAGGCUCACCAAGGCGACGAUCCGUAGCGGGUCUGAGAGGAUGAUCCGCCACACUGGGACUGAGACACGGCCCAGACUCCUACGGGAGGCAGCAGUGGGGAAUUUGGACAAUGGGCGCAAGCCUGAUCCAGCCAUGCCGCGUGA
rnacentral:rRNA from 1 species